rnacentral:lncRNA from 1 species
AUGAACCACAGUGAAAAAAUUCUGACUAUUUGCCACAAGGGCAAAAAUUGCCAUAGGCAUACACCAGCUUAAAGAGAGAGUUUUGAGGGGCUCACACUAACCCUUGUUGCGUAUGGGAAGUGAAAUUUAAUCUCUGACCCCUUGUCUCAUUGUGCAGCCAACAAUCCAAAUACACUGACCUAAAAUUUCCACGGUGGUGUGAUUUGUUGGCUGCCCUGGACUUUCUCCAUUGUUGCUGCAGCUGUCAUUGCGGGGGAAGGGGCUUUCUGGAGUUCAGACUUUCAGAGCAGAAAGAAACGAAAACAGCUCAAAGAGUUGAUUAUGUGCGGACUGCUGACAGAGCUUUAGCAUUCUAUAGUCACUGGCUCUGAAAUACUUGUAAGCUCAACGAUUUCAAGGGAAUUUUCUUUUGAGAGCACAAAGCACUCUCACCCAGAGUGUGAGCUAUCGGGCAGAAUACUUAACUACGCAGCUGUCAAUCAACAUUUCCCCCCUUGAUUGACAAACGUCCACGAAGUGCCUAGCACUGUGCUGGUUGCUGUGGAAGAUAUAAAAGAAAUAUAGGUGCUGGUUCUUACCUUCAAAGUAUUUACAAUCUGCUGGGUGGGGGUGGGGGAUGGCGAGACAUAAUUAGAGAAUCACAAAAAAAAACAUUAUUCCGGGUUCUUUCCCAUAUAUUUUGCUUAUUUGAUUAUCACAACAACCACAGGGGAUAGGUCGGACAAACGGUAUUCCCAUUUAAUUGAUAUGGAAACAAGUUCCAAGUUGUGAGGUGAUUUGCACGUGAUAAGCCAAUAAUUAAGUGGAGAAAAGGGGACUUUAGCCUGGGGUCUUCUAGCCGGAAGUUCAGGGUUCUCUCUAUCUCUACGGAACAGCAGCUGCCCGGGAGUAGGACCCGGUAGAGGUGGGGCAUACUUAAAACCUUGGGAAGCCGGUUUGAGCCCACCCUCACCUCUGCUCGCUUCCUGGCUUGAUUACCUGGCUUUUCUGCUCUUAUGGGUGACUGAAUAUAAGUUGUUUAAUAGCGUUCUACAGGAUGGUCAAUUGUGAAUGACUUACCUAUUCUCAGCAAGGCAAAGAUUCAACAUGACUCCAAGGGACCGUGAUGAAAAAUGCUUUCCACCACCAUAGAAGGAACCGAUGGCAUCUGACUGCAGAUCAAAGUACACCAUUUUUCACUUUAUUCCCUU